CCUGCCGACAACUGUCUCAUUUAUAUUCCAGGCAUGUUCAUCAUACGCUUCCUACAGCCGCCCAUACAGUCACGUCCACUCUUUCAUUCCAGAGACAAAAUCAUGGAUUAGACAUACUCAUGCAGCAUAGCAUGCACUUUCGUCCCAUACUUGUAGAACGCAUAACACAGCUUUUCACCUGGCUUAAAGAAUCUCAUUGGAACACGACAUAGC